rnacentral:rRNA from 2 species
AAACGACUCUCGGCAACGGAUAUCUCGGCUCACGCAUCGAUGAAGAACGUAGCAAAAUGCGAUACUUGGUGUGAAUUGCAGAAUCCCGUGAACCAUCGAGUUUUUGAACGCAAGUUGCGCCCGAAGCCACUCGGCCGAGGGCACGCCUGCCUGGGCGUCACGC